rnacentral:rRNA from 1 species
UGCAAGUCGUGCGGACCUUUUAAAGCUUGCUUUUAAAAGGUUAGCGGCGGACGGGUGAGUAACACGUGGGCAACCUGCCUGUAAGAUCGGGAUAACGCCGGGAAACCGGGGCUAAUACCGGAUAGUUUUUUCCUCCGCAUGGAGGAAAAAGGAAAGACGGCUUUUGCUGUCACUUACAGAUGGGCCCGCGGCGCAUUAGCUAGUUGGUGGGGUAACGGCUCACCAAGGCAACGAUGCGUAGCCGACCUGAGAGGGUGAUCGGCCACAUUGGGACUGAGACACGGCCCAAACUCCUACGGGAGGCAGCAGUAGGGAAUCUUCCGCAAUGGACGAAAGUCUGACGGAGCAACGCCGCGUGAGUGAAGAAGGCCUUCGGGUCGUAAAACUCUGUUGCCGGGGAAGAACAAGUGCCGUUCGAACAGGGCGGCGCCUUGACGGUACCCGGCCAGAAAGCCACGGCUAACUAC